GUACUCGUGGCCGAGUGGUUAAAGCGAUGGACUUGAAAUCCAGUGGAGUUUCCUCGAGCAGGUUCGAAUCCUGCUGGCUACA
rnacentral:tRNA from 1 species